rnacentral:rRNA from 1 species
AAGAGACAGCAGUAGCCACGGUAAUACGGAGGGUGCAAGCGUUAAUCGGAAUUACUGGGCGUAAAGCGUGCGUAGGCGGUUCGUUAAGUCUGUUGUGAAAGCCCCGGGCUCAACCUGGGAAUGGCAAUGGAUACUGGCGAGCUAGAGUGUGUCAGAGGAUGGUGGAAUUCCCGGUGUAGCGGUGAAAUGCGUAGAGAUCGGGAGGAACAUCAGUGGCGAAGGCGGCCAUCUGGGACAACACUGACGCUGAGGCACGAAAGCGUGGGGAGCAAACAGGAUUAGAUACCCGCGUAGUCCCUGUCUCUUAUAC